rnacentral:rRNA from 1 species
UAGGGGGCAAGCGUUAUCCGGAAUCACUGGGUGUAAAGGGAGCGUAGACGGUUGUGCAAGUCUGGAGUGAAAGGCGGGGGCCCAACCCCCGGACUGCUCUGGAAACUGUGUAACUGGAGUGCAGGAGAGGUAAGUGGAAUUCCUAGUGUAGCGGUGAAAUGCGUAGAUAUUAGGAGGAACACCAGUGGCGAAGGCGGCUUACUGGACUGUAACUGACGUUGAGGCUCGAAAGCGUGGGGAGCAAA